CCUACGGGAGGCAGCAGUGGGGAAUAUUGCACAAUGGGGGAAACCCUGAUGCAGCGACGCCGCGUGAGUGAAGAAGUAUUUCGGUACGUAAAGCUCUAUCAGCAGGGAAGAAAAUGACGGUACCUGACUAAGAAGGCCCGGCUAACUACGUGCCAGCAGCCGCGGUAAUACGUAGGGGGCAAGCGUUAUCCGGAUUUACUGGGUGUAAAGGGAGCGUAGACGGCAGCGCAAGUCUGGAGUGAAAUCCCAUGGCUUAACCAUGGAACUGCUUUGGAAACUGUGCAGCUAGAGUGCAGGAGAGGUAAGCGGAAUUCCUAGUGUAGCGGUGAAAUGCGUAGAUAUUAGGAGGAACACCAGUGGCGAAGGCGGCUUACUGGACUGUAACUGACGUUGAGGCUCGAAAGCGUGGGGAGCAAACAGGAUUAGAUACCCGGGUAGUC
rnacentral:rRNA from 1 species